AGCCCUAAGAAAUUAUUUAGGGUGAAGCCUGCUCAAUGAAAUUAUUUAAAUGGCCGCGGUACCUUGACCGUGCUAAGGUAGCAUAAUCAGUUGACUUUUGAAUGAAGUCUGGAAUGAAUGGAAUAACGGGAUUUAGCUGUCUCAAUCUUUUUCUUUUGAAUUUACUAAUUAGGUGAAAAGGCCUAAGAAUGAUAAAAGACGAUAAGACCCUUAGAGUUUUCUUAUAAUUUUGUUGGGGCGACAGGGAAUCAAUAAACAUUCCUGUUUUAUAUGACGGAUUUUUCAUGAACAGAUAAACUACCUGAGGGAUAACAGCAUUAUCUUUAUUAGGUUUGUGACCUCGAUGUUGGACUAGGAAGCCUAUAGGCUAGCCGCCUAUAAGGGAGAUUCUGUUCGAAUUUUUACUCCU
rnacentral:rRNA from 1 species